CCUACGGGAGGCUGCAGUGGGGAAUAUUGCACAAUGGGCGCAAGCCUGAUGCAGCCAUGCCGCGUGUGUGAAGAAGGCCUUCGGGUUGUAAAGCACUUUCAGCGGGGAGGAAGGCGGUGAGGUUAAUAACCUCAUCGAUUGACGUUACCCGCAGAAGAAGCACCGGCUAACUCCGUGCCAGCAGCCGCGGUAAUACGGAGGGUGCAAGCGUUAAUCGGAAUUACUGGGCGUAAAGCGCACGCAGGCGGUCUGUCAAGUCGGAUGUGAAAUCCCCGGGCUCAACCUGGGAACUGCAUUCGAAACUGGCAGGCUAGAGUCUUGUAGAGGGGGGUAGAAUUCCAGGUGUAGCGGUGAAAUGCGUAGAGAUCUGGAGGAAUACCGGCGGCGAAGGCGGCCCCCUGGACAAAGACUGACGCUCAGGUGCGAAAGCGUGGGGAGCAAACAGGAUUAGAUACCCUUGUAGUC
rnacentral:rRNA from 1 species